rnacentral:rRNA from 1 species
AUUGAACGCUGGCGGCAUGCCUUACACAUGCAAGUCGAACGGUAACGCGGGGCAACCUGGCGCCGAUUGGCGAACGGGUGCGUAAUGCAUCGGAACGUGCCCAGAAGUGGGGGAUAGCCCGGCGAAAGCCGGAUUAAUACCGCAUGAGACCUGAGGUUGAAAGCGGGGGUUCGCAAGACCUCGCGCUUUUGGAGCGGCCGAUUUCAGAUUAGCUAGUUGGUGGGGUAAAGGCCUACCAAGGCGACGAUCUGUAGCUGGUCUGAGAGGACGACCAGCCACACUGGGACUGAGACACGGCCCAGACUCCUACGGGAGGCAGCAGUGGGGAAUUUUGGACAAUGGGCGCAAGCCUGAUCCAGCCAUGCCGCGUGCGGGAAGAAGGCCUUCGGGUUGUAAACCGCUUUUGUCAGGGAAGAAACGCUCUGGGCUAAUACCCUGGGGUAAUGACGGUACCUGAAGAAUAAGCACCGGCUAACUACGUG